AGCGAACGCUGGCGGCAGGCUUAACACAUGCCAGUCGAGCGGGCACUUCGGUGUCAGCGGCAGACGGGUGAGUAACACGUGGGAACGUACCCUUUGGUUCGGAAUAACGCUGGGAAACUAGCGCUAAUACCGGAUACGCCCUUUUGGGGAAAGGCUUGCUGCCGAAGGAUCGGCCCGCGUCUGAUUAGCUAGUUGGUGGGGUAAUGGCCUACCAAGGCGACGAUCAGUAGCUGGUCUGAGAGGAUGAUCAGCCACACUGGGACUGAGACACGGCCCAGACUCCUACGGGAGGCAGCAGUGGGGAAUAUUGGACAAUGGGCGCAAGCCUGAUCCAGCCAUGCCGCGUGAGUGAUGAAGGCCUUAGGGUUGUAAAGCUCUUUUGUCCGGGACGAUAAUAACGGAACCGGAAGAAUAAGCCCCGGCUAACUUCGUG
rnacentral:rRNA from 1 species